UUGGGGACUGGGCAGCACAAGUUAACAAUGCAGUGUGUGCAUGCUCGGUUGCUCGUUUGUUGACUGAGUGGCAUGACAAAAGAUGCAUUACCUCUCCCUGCUGUGGAGUUUGUGUAAUGAGUGAUCUGAUUGAAUCGCGGGGGUCCAGGAAACGAGUAGUAGCAUAGAUGAUAUAUCUGGAGAAGCUCUAAUGAUAGCUAAACAGUAAACAUUUAGCCAGUCAUAGCUAGCUAUUUAGCUAUGACCAUUUAAUAUAUUUGCUGAGUGUUAUGCUUGUGGUUGAAUGCAAUCUCUGUGUAUAUGCAUUUAGACAAUGUCUUCUGUUACACAGCUGUCAAUCGAAAACGUAUGCACUGGUUGCCAAGUCAUUUGGGCUGUCUUCUCAGUCAGUGGCUUUUUUUUGCUACCUCAAGUCUACACUACAUGUAUGUCAAGUUUGUAUUCGUAGCUAAUGACAGUUUAUACAUUUCUUUCAGACAUUGAUUCUUCAGCCAGAUGACAAAAAUUGUCUGGUUGCCAGAUCGAAAUGUUAUGUAAAGAUGGGAGAUUCUGAUAAUGCAUUGAGGGACGCAGAGGCCUCUCUCUAUGAGGACAAAUAAUGCUUAAAGGGUUUGUAUCAGAAAGCGGAAGCUUUAUACACCAUGGGAAACUUUGAGUUUGCCCUGGUGUUUUACCACAGGGGGCACAAACGGUGGCCAGAGCUGCAGGAAUUUAGACUGGGAAUCCAGAAGGCCCAAGAGGCUAUCGACAACUCUGUGGGCAACCCCUCAUCUGUGAACCUGGAGAACAAGGGCGACCUGUCCUUCUUCCACAAGGCCAAUGAGGAUGAGUUCUGUGUGUGGGAUUGAUUGGCAGGGGUAGAAGGGAUGGCCGAAGGGGCUGAUUCACCCCCUGAGAAGGGAGAUGAGGCAGCAGAACAAGAAGACGCCUAAGAGUGAGAAGAUAGCCAAGCAGCUUCUGGGAGAGCUCUACAGCGAUAAGGAGAAGCUACUGAAAGAUGAAGCAAACUCCCAGACGCAAAGUCAAGGGCACUUGAUAAUGUUGGCCGGGCGUACGCCAGAAUAGGAAAGUUCCCACAGGCUAUUGAUGCGUCGGUGGAAACUCAAACCGGGAGGAAAAGAUCCCGCUGGCCAGUGGCGGCCCGGGACUACGGCGUUCGCUCACUCGCCGUGGCCGAUGAAAUCGCUGAUGAGAAGUGGCAACUGAACGCCUGUGUGUUGGUGGCACAGUCAGAGAUGAAGCUUGUCAACUUUAAAUCCGGUGUUGCCCACUUUGAAAGAGCUUUGGACAGGGCUACGGUUCUCCAGGAUGACCCUGCUAGGGAUGCCAUCGAGAAGGUCACCUGAACAUCCUUGUCAAUUCAUGUCACUUCUUUCCUAUUGUCAAAUCACAAUGGCUCACUGAUACAAUAUUUGAUGCCCUUAUUUAGGCUCUCCGUGAGGCAAGGCAAUGUUUAUGAGCGCUCAUCAGAAGAUGACUGAAGAGUAGCCACAGACAGAUGUUCAAGGACAAUGUAAUAAAAACGGUCUUUUAAACAUGCUUCUCUGACCUCCACUUGAGUUUUUGUUGUAUACUUUUAUUUUCUUUAUUUAUGUAUAGAAAAAUGGCAGACAAAAUGUACAUACCCCUUACAGAAUAAACUUAGGAGAUACAGCUGUGGAAAGGACUUCACUUGGAUGGGAACAAAAUUGAAUCAUGCUAUGAUGUAUUACCUUGAAAAUGUAUUAUUCAUCUACACAGGAAUUCAAUCAUUACAGUUGUGUAGUAUAAGUUGAUGUCUUCUUUUUCAUUGAUGUGUUUCCUGUAGUACUGCAACACAUGCGCGUUUCCAAUGUAAUGUUUUGUAGUGUCUCAUUAAUAAAGCGUUUUCU